CUCUCUCUAUCUCUCGGAUCUCUGUUUUCUCUCUCUCUCUCUCUUUUAAAUUUUUUUUUCUCUUAUUACAUUUAUCAUGAAAAAUCUAUGAUCCAUCAAAAUCUAUUAAGUUUUAUACCCAUGUUCCUGAGACCAAAGUGAAGAGCUUGGUGAGAGCAACGUUUUGACCGAUGGAGAUCAAAAUCCGAGAAAGUCGAAAAUUGGGGUUUUUGCUUAUUUUUUCUUCUAGCGAGUUGGAUCAUGAAUUGGAAUUUGACUGUGAGGUUUACCCUCUUGGUCUUCUGACAAAUGCUGGAGUAGUUGUAGGUGUUUCCCAAAGGAUGUCAUUUUCAGCAUGCACAGAGUUUCCAUUGUUUUGAGCCAACUCUCAACUCCUCAAGCUCAAACUAUAUUGCAUUGCCUACUCAGACAUGUUCUUCAGGUACCACUGGGUUUGUAAUUCCAUCUGGAAGUUGUCACCUCUUAAUACUUGUGUAAAGAUUAAUCAAGCUAACAAUGCUGUAUUUACCAAAAAUAUGUUUAGUACCGCUUAGUGUUAAGGUCUUCUGUAGACAUGACAGUUCUUUAACCAAAUUUUGUGAUAAGUUUGUUGUGGCAGCAUGGUGAAUUCACAGAGUUCUUUAGUAUUUCUACUGGUGACAUUUUCUAUUAACAUUUUUGUUUUCAUAUGCCUUGACCAUGGGUUAAAUUUUCAUGUUUAAAUUUUUAUCAGUUUUAACUACUUUCUUACGGGCAGAGUGCAAAUAAAAACCAGAUCUCAGUUCCUAAGCAUGGUACCAACUCUUCUCUUUUGGACAAGAUUUGUGAUUUAAUUAAAAAAUUUCCAGAGUAUUUUGAUGUGGUUGUUAGCGUUGCAAGAAAAACUGAUGGCCAACAUUGGGCGGAUUUGUUUUCUGCUGCCGGAAGAUCAACGAGUAUGUGAUUUCUCUUAAUUCUUUUUUUUUUUUCUAUUGAUUUUACCUACCAUGUAAAGUGUAUUGGUAGUGGAUUUCUUGAUUUUUCUGUUCUCUCGGUUGUUUGAGGAAUGCUUCCAGCAGAGAUGGUACUAGACAGCAGCUUGCUAUAUACUUGUAUGUACUAAAUCAUAUCGGUUGAUUAAGUUCAAGCUUUAGGGUCUGAGGAAUUCACAAAUUUUCAUUAGUUCCCAACCACCCCCCCUUCUAUUUUUUGUUCCAAAUACGAAAAGAUGAAAGUUUUGUGUGUGACUCUCUGCUGUAAAGUUUGUCUAGUUACAAUUUUAUCUUCAGUAUAUUUACGUCUUUGACAUGACAUUAGUCUUAGUGAACUGAUUGAAUUGGUAUUCAGUUCAUCUAUCAUUGGUUUAACAAAUUGAAAGUGUUCAAGUCUCCUAGAUCAAUGAGUUUCACAGGUACAAGUAGCAGGCAAUAAGUGUCUAGUGUCCGACAUGGGUACUUCAUGUAGAAGUGUCUAUGUAACAUAGACGACAACUUACGUCCUGAAAAAGCUUGUAGUUGUUGGAAAAAGUUCUAGAUAAGCUAAGUUCCAGUGCUUAUCAACUUUUCAAAUCCCAUACUUUAAUUCUAAAUUGCUAAUCUUAUCUUGUACUACUUUUGCUGCUACAUGUGAUCGCUAAGCUUGAGGGUCCUGCUGUUAGUCAAUACUGUGCUUUACAUUUAUUACAGGCAGCGCUAGACGAAUCUUUAUAUGAACUUGAUGGGAAGCUGGUAUAAGUUUUGACAUGACUUUAUGCCUCUUUCAGUAAGAUGGUUAAUUCUUCCAAUUUUUUGAUCUGGGGGGGAAUAUGAACCUUCGGUGGCAGAUUCAUACAAACUGUCACCCAGAUUCUUGAGCUAUUUUCUUUUCCCUUCUAGGUACAGGAGGCAAUCUUUUGACUCGAGAAGCUUCAAAUGGGCACACUGCAGGGUCGGUUAGAUGCGGAAUUUCUUUUGGCUCAUAUGUGCUCUGUCAAGUUCAAAGAGCAAAUAGUCAUCCUAGCCACUCUUUUAAGACGAUCCGAGGUUCUUUUUGAUUUAUUUCAGCAUGAUAUGCAGUUGUGGAAAGCUUAUAGCGUGUGACUCUGGGGGUACAUACGUCUCUCAAAGAUUGGCUUGUUUACGGUGGCUAUUCAUUUGUGUGCCUCACUUUCCUUUCUUGAUGUACUCCUUGUCCAGUCACUCCCGGCAUUUGCUGAAUAUCUAGAUUUGCUUGAAGCCUUGCAAGAGAAACUUUCUUCUACCAUAAGUUUGGAAGAGAAAUGAGGCAGAGGAUUAGAUUCUCUGAACCCUAUUGGUUCAGCUUGACAGCGGAUUGACUGCAAAACGAUGCAACUCUUCUCAACAAGACAUCUUCUCGGGGGAGUUAAAGAUUCCAUAUGAAUCACGUACAAAUGAACGAGCAGUCAUUAUGUUCUGUUGAGCAUGGGAAAGAGCAGACCGGGAAAUCAUGUCAUGAGAGUGUGUAGGAUACAAUUAUUCAUCAAACCAUAUAUCUCUUGUCUGAGAUUAAAGUCACGCAUUUAAGUAUUUAUUUUGUAGAUAGGUCAUUUCUAUGGUUUACAAGUAGUGGUUCUUUCUCUCACAAUCUGUAUUAUUUCCCUCUCAAUGUAGAGCAUUGAAGCAUGUUGCUCAAAUAAUCCUUUCAUCAUGCAGUUUGUGGAUAUGGCUUUGUGCAGAUGGUAUUGUGUUGAAAUAUGGUUCUGUAGUUGUAGGACAAGAUAGACCCAAGGUCUUGUUAUUUUAUACACAAUUUUAUUCAAUAAAAUGAACACCGUCUCUCUCUCUUAA